AGAGAGUGAGAGAAAAGAAAGGAAAAAUUGAGUUUUCUUCCUCCCUUCUCUCCUCCUCCGUCGACGGAUCCCCCCCUUUCUUCCUCUUCUCUUCGGUUGCUCGGCACCAUGGAAGCCGAAGAAGCCGAAGAAGCUCCGCCCGUCGCCGCUUCUCGCCGCCGUCGUUGCCCACCGAAGCCGGAGCCGCCGCCGCUGCUCCACGGUCGUCCGCGCAUCUCAGCCCUCUCUCCUUCCUCUGGUUCGAACAGAACCGAUCAGCAGGAGCAGAAGCAACGAUCGGCGUUGCUUGAAGGAGCUGCAGUCGCGCCGCACGCCACCUCGCCGUUCCCGGCCCGCGUCGCCUCGCCGUUCGCCGUCCCGUGCUCUGCUUGCCUCGGCCUCUCCCUCGCUCAGCCCUCUGUUUCAGCGAAGUUUCAGAUUUGGUGGAGCUCCGCCGGAGCCGUCCACCCCUCCUCCGGCCACCGUGAAGCCUCACCUUGGUUCGGUUCGGCCCCUCCGUCCAUUUCCGACCCAACCCAGCUCCGGAUCCGCCCUCAUUCGCCCUUAACCAGCCGCGCACAGAGAGUGCAGGAAAUGGGUUUCCAGCUGGUUCGGGCUCGUUUUGGGUCGUUUCCUGGCCCCGAACCCGAGGCCCACUUUGGGAACAAUCGUUUCUCGCGUUGCCGCCGUCGGAUUGAUCCGAUUUGCGCGCGAUUUGGAGCGUUAACCUAAUGCUAAAGGUGAGGGAGGCCGUCUCAUUAAGCCAGUGAUACGGAGGGCAACAGAGGAAAAUGACUUGCAUGUGGAACAUCAGUUUCCGCUUCCGCUUCAAGAACAAUGGAUCCCAAAAACAGGAGCAUUAACCUAACGCUAAAGGUGAGGGGGGCCGCCUCAUUGAGCCAGUGAUACAGAGGGCAAUAGAGGAGAAGGACUUGCGCAUGGAACAUCAGUUUCCGCUUCCGUUUCAAGAACAAUGGAUUCCAAAAAUAGGUACGUUAAUCUUUCUACUCAAUUAUACAUGUUCUUGUUCUGGUUAUGGAGAUCUUGGGAUUGCGCAAUUGUGCAUCCAACAUACACUUCUUGUUAAAUUUUACUGAUGAUCCGACGAAGUGUGUGUUUGAGGAUGCAAGCCUUGCCACUCUGCUAGCAUACACUUUUGUUAAAUUCUAUUUAUGAUCCGACGAAGUUCCAAAAGAUGGAACGGAAUGAGGUUGGAUUUGAUUAAUGGGGGGCACAGACUCAAAGGAGUUUAUGGGUGCUACGUUCUUCUUUCUAUGUUUCCUGUAAUAAGUAAGUGACGCCUUGAACAAUAUUUUUCUUGUUGUACUGGUUUUUAAACAUUUUAAUAUAUAACGAGGAGGAAAUACGGUCAUGAUAGUAAGCAUGUACCCCAAGAGAUGUGGGAGUGAAAGUAGGCCUCAUUAGCAA